GGACUAUAAAGGUAACCAGGUACGUACAGUGAAGGUUUGAUAUGGCUCAGAAGUCGUACAAGGUAACCGUAAAGUUUAAUAAUGGCUGGGAACGUGCCCUCUGGUUCGGAACAACUCUGGGAAACUUGAGCUAAUACCGGAUGUGCCCUUCUGGGGAAAGAUUUAUCGCCAUUGGAGCGGCCCGCGUCUGAUUAGCUAGUUGGUGGGGUAAAGGCCCACCAAGGCGACGAUCAGUAGCUGGUCUGAGAGGAUGAUCAGCCACAUUGGGACUGAGACACGGCCCAAACUCCUACGGGAGGCAGCAGUGGGGAAUCUUGCGCAAUGGGCGAAAGCCUGACCCAGCCAUGCCGCGUGAGUGAUGAAGGUCUUACGAUUGUAAAGUUCUUUCACCGGGGACGAUAAUGACGGUACCCGGAGAAGAGGCCCCGGCUAACUUCGUGCCAGCAGCCGCGGUAAUACGAAGGGGGCUAGCGUUGCUCGGAAUUACUGGGCGUAAAGGGAGCGUACGCGGACUGUUAAGUUAGAGGUGAAAGCCCAGGGCUCAACCUUGGAAUUGCCUUUGAUACUGGCAGUCUUGAAUACAGAAGAGGUAUGUGGAACUCCGAGUGUAGAGGUGAAAUUCGUAGAUAUUCGGAAGAACACCAGUGGCGAAAGCGACAUACUGGUCCGAUACUGACGCUGAUGCUCGAAAGCGUGGGGAGCAAACAGGAUUAGAUACCCUGGUAGUCCACGCCGUAAACGAUGAGUGCUAUUUGUCAGCAUGAAUGCCUGUCGGUGACGCAGCUAACGCAUUAAGCACUCCGCCUGGGGAGUACGGUCGCGAGAUUAAAACUCAAAGGAAUUGACGGGGGCCCUCACAAGCGGUGGAGCAUGUGGUUUAAUUCGAGCAACGCGCAAAACCUUACCGCUUUUGACAUGCCUGGAUCGCCACAGACAUGUGUUUUUCCCUUCGGGGACUGUUACUCGGUGCUGCAUGGCUGUCGUCAGCUCGUGUCGUGAAAUGUGGGCUAAGUCCCGCAACGAUCGCAACCUCGGGAAUAAUUGCCAUCAGGUAUGGGUGGGCUUCCAAACCUACCGCCGGAAUUAGCCGAAGUAGGGUGGGAUGACUUCAGUUCUCCUGGUCCUUACAAGUGGGGCUUCCCCCUGGCUUAAAUGGCCGUUAGAAGGGCUGGAAUCCCGGCAGGGGGAUCAAAUUCCCUAAGGC
rnacentral:rRNA from 1 species